UAGGGAAUCUUCCGCAAUGGACGCAAGUCUGACGGAGCAACGCCGCGGGAGUGAAGAAGGAUUUCGGUUCGUAAAACUCUGUUGUUAGAGAAGAACAGCGCAUAGAGUAACUGUUAUGCGUGUGACGGUAUCUAACCAGAAAGCCACGGCUAACUACGUGCCAGCAGCCGCGGUAAUACGUAUGUGGCAAGCGUUGUCCGGAUUUAUUGGGCGUAAAGCGAGCGCAGGCGGUCAAUUACGUCUGAUGUAAAAGCCCCCGGCUCAACCGGGGAGGUUCAUUGGAAACUGGAAUACUUGAGUGCAGAAGAGGAAAGUGGAAUUCCAUGUGUAGCGGUGAAAUGCGCAGAGAUAUGGAGGAACACCAGUGACGAAGGCGACUUUCUGGUCUGUAACUGACGCUGAUGUGCGAAAGCGUGGGGAUCAAACAGG
rnacentral:rRNA from 1 species